rnacentral:rRNA from 1 species
UACGAAGGGGGCGAGCGUUGUUCGGAAUUACUGGGCGUAAAGGGCGCGUAGGCGGCCCCUUUUGUCGCGUGUGAAAGCCCCGGGCUCAACCUGGGAACUGCAUCCGAUACUGGAUGGCUUGAAUUCGGGAGAGGGAUGCAGAAUUCCAGGUGUAGCGGUGAAAUGCGUAGAUAUCGGGAGGAACACCUGUGGCGAAAGCGGCGCACUGGACCACAACUGACGCUGAGGCGCGAAAGCUAGGGGAGCAAACAGG